UGUGACUAACCUACUGAAGUUAUAUGUG
rnacentral:piRNA from 1 species